GCUUCCGACCUAAACUGUGGCGUUCAUCGCCGCGUUUCCUUUCGGGAUAGGGUCGGGAGUUUUA
rfam:Candidatus Wildermuthbacteria bacterium RIFCSPHIGHO2_01_FTLL_48_27b rifcsphigho2_01_scaffold_5550, whole genome shotgun sequence.